rnacentral:rRNA from 1 species
UACGUAGGGUGCGAGCGUUGUCCGGAAUUAUUGGGCGUAAAGGGCUCGUAGGCGGUUUGUCGCGUCGGGAGUGAAAACUCAGGGCUUAACCCUGAGCCUGCUUCCGAUACGGGCAGACUAGAGGUAUGCAGGGGAGACGGAAUUCCUGGUGUAGCGGUGAAAUGCGCGAUAUCAGGAGGAACACCGGUGGCGAAGGCGGUUCUCUGGGCAUUACCUGACGCUGAGGAGCGAAAGUGUGGGGAGCGAACAGG